rnacentral:rRNA from 1 species
GUUUAUCCAGGCUCAGAUUGAACGCUGGCGGCGUGCCUUACACAUGCAUGUCGAGCGGACUACAGGAAGGGGUAACUCUUCAUGUAGAUAGCGGCGAACGGGCGAGAAACACUUGGGUAAUCUAGCUUCAAGUGGGGAAUAACUCCGGGGAAACUGGAGCUAAUACCCCAUAAGACUACGGGCUGAAAGGCUUGUAGUAAAAGAAGCAAUUCGCCUGAGGAUGCGCCCGCGGCCUAUCAGGUAGUUGGUAGGGUAAUGGCCUACCAAGCCUAUGACGGGUAGCCGAGCUGAGAGGCUGGCCGGCCACACUGGGACUGAGACUCGGCCCAGACUCUACGGGAGGCAGCAGUGGGGAAUGUUGGGCAAUGGGCGAAAGCCGGACCCAGCGACGCCGCGUGGGGGAAGAAGGCUUCGGGUUGUAAACCCCUUUUGGAGGGGACGACACAGGACGGUACCCUGCGUAUAAGCCACGGCUAACNCUGUGCCAGCAGCCGCGGUAAGACAGAGGUGGCGAGCGUUGCNCGGAUUUACUGGGCAUAAAGGGCGCGUNGGUGGCCUUGUAAGNCAAAGGUGGAAUUCCACAGCUNAACUGUGGAACUG